rnacentral:rRNA from 1 species
GGCGGGGGGAACAAGAGCGUAUGGUGGAUGCCUUGGCUUCAAAUGGCGAUGAAGGACGUGGUGUAACUGCGAUAAGCGUCGGGGAGGUGUUGAACAACCUUUGAUCCGGCGAUGUCCGAAUGGGGAAACCCCUUUGCGUAAAACGCAUUGAUCUGCCUGUAUGUUUAGACUUUUGACACAAAUUAAUAGACGGCUGCCAGUAUGAUACCAGCAACCGUCUUUCCUCAUGUCCUGGUCAGCUUCAACUCAUGAAGUAGACGAGGACUAUGAAUGCGACACCCAGGAUAGUGGUAACGAGAUACCACUUCCAGCUAUUUUUACAGAGUUCUUUAUUCCGCUUUUCCAGCGCUUGCUGGAAAGGCGCGCGUUGGUCUUUCAUAUCCGAGUGAAAUUUUUUCAUGGAAGAUCUCCUUAGGUUAAGAACUGCAAUUUCACGCUAUAUAUUAUUAGCAUAAUAAUAUAUAUUAGUCAAGAGUCAAAACAUACAGGCAGAGGCGAACCCGCUGAAGUAAAACAUUUCAGUAAGCGGAGGAAAAGAAAAUAACGAGAUACCCAAGUUGGUGCUUUUACUAAGGAGUACCAAUUUGUGUAUCUCUCAUUCCCCAAGUAGCGGCGAGUGAAAAGGGAACAGCCCAAACCAGUUUUUUAAGGCGAUUACAUCAAGAUAAGAAACUGGGGUUGUAAGGUAGCGACGUCAAUUUAUUUUGGGAAAGCAAGAAAUUACAUGGUUAGGAGAACGGUCCUGGAAAGGCCGGCCAAAGAGGGUGAUAGCCCCGUAUACGAAAAUUAAUGUAUGCUUUCUGUUGCUAUUCUUGAGUACUGCCCCGUACGGAGACUGGGCAGGAAUCUGGGGGGACUAUGCCCCUAAGGCUAAAUACAUUUGAAGACCGAUAGUGAACAAGUACCGUGAGGGAAAGGUGAAAAGCAGCCCGGUGAGGGCGGUGAAAUAGUACCUGAAACCAUAUGCUUACAAGGAGUCGGAGCCCGCAAGGGUGACGGCGUGCCUAUUGAAGAAUGAGCCAACGAGUUUUUGGAUUUUACUCGUCUAAGUGGGUGAUUCCACGCAGGCAGAGGGAAACCGAGUGUGAAUAGCGCGUCUAAAAUUAGUGAGUGGGUCCGUGCAUAGCACAGGGAAAUUCGAAUAUCGAAUAUCGAAAUUCUAAACAAAUUCAAAUUUCAAAAUCAAAAUGUUCAAAACGCGAAUAGCUUUGAAUUUUGGUCAUUUGAGAUUUGAUAUUGUUUAGGAUUUAGGGUUUCGUGCUUAGGAUUUUCAUGCGCUAUGCGUGCGGUCUGCUCAUUAAUUUUUAAGUAGAAUUCAAAAGACCCGAAACCAGGUGAGCUUGCCAUGGGCAGGGUGAAUGUCGGGUAACACCGACAGGAGGCCCGAACCGGUAGGUCGUACAACGCCUUCGGAUGACCUGUGGUAAGGAGUGAAAAGCUAAUCGAACCUGGAAAUAGCUGGUUCUCUGCGAAAUAGUUUUAGGACUAGCCCUGGAUCAUACUGCAUAGGAGGUAAAGCUACUGGAUGGUCUGUAAUUGUCGAAAGACAGGCAGACCAACCAAACUCUGAAUGCCUAUGUAUGUUAUUCCGGGAGUCAGCAGGCGGGGGCUAAGCUCCGUCGUGCAAGAGGGGAAGAGCCCAGACCGUCAACUAAGGUCCCUAAAUCUACGCUAAGUGGGGAAGGAGGUGGAGUUUCUCAAACAGCGAGGAGGUUGGCUUA